rnacentral:rRNA from 1 species
AUUGAACGCUGCGGCAGGCUUAACACAUGCAAGUCGAGCGGAGCGAGGGUGCUUGCACCUUAGCUUAGCGGCGGACGGGUGAGUAAUGCUUAGGAAUCUGCCUAUUAGUGGGGGACAACAUUCCGAAAGGAAUGCUAAUACCGCAUACGCCCUACGGGGGAAAGCAGGGGAUCUUCGGACCUUGCGCUAAUAGAUGAGCCUAAGUCGGAUCAGCUAGUUGGUGGGGUAAAGGCCUACCAAGGCGACGAUCUGUAGCGGGUCUGAGAGGAUGAUCCGCCACACUGGGACUGAGACACGGCCCAGACUCCUACGGGAGGCAGCAGUGGGGAAUAUUGGACAAUGGGCGGAAGCCUGAUCCAGCCAUGCCGCGUGUGUGAAGAAGGCCUUUUGGUUGUAAAGCACUUUAAGCGAGGAGGAGGCCCUUAAGGUUAAUACCCUUGAUGAGUGGACGUUACUCGCAGAAUAAGCACCGGCUAACUCUGUGCCAGCAGCCGCGGUAAAAC